AUGGCCUCUUCUCCUUCUACCAUGAUGGACUCUUCUCUUCUACCAUUAUGGCCUAGUCUCUUCUCUCUUCUCCUUCUACCAUUAUGGCUUCUUCUCUUCAAUCUUCUCCUUCUACGAUUAUGGUCUCUUCUCUUCUACCAUCAUGGCCUCUUCUCUCUUCCCUUCUACCAUGAUGGCCUCUUCACUUCUACUAUUAUGGCCUCUUUUCUUCUUCUUCUACCAUUAUUGCCUAGUCUUUUUUCUCUUCACUUCUGUCAUUUUGGCUGCUUCUCUUCACUCUUUUCCUUUUACCAUUAUGGCAUAUUCUCUUUUCUCUUCUCUUCUACCAUUAUGGCCUCUUCUCUCUUAUCUUUUACCAUUAUGGCCUAUUCUCUUCGCUCUUCUCCUUCUACCAUUAUGGCCUCUUCUCUUCUACUGUUAUGGCCUCUUCUCUCUUCUCCUCCUACCAUUAUGGCAUAUUCUCUUCUCUCUUCUCAUUCUACCAUUAUGGCAAUUCUCUUCUCUCUUCUCCUUCUACCAUUGUGGCCUCUUCUCUUCAAUCUUCUCCUUCUACCAUUAUGUUCUCUUCUCUUCUACCAUUAUGUCAUAGUCUCUUUUCUCUUCUCUUCUACCAUUAAGGCCACUUCUCUUCACUCUUCUCCUUCUACCAUUAUAGCAUAUUCUUUUCACUCUUCUCCUUCUACCAUUAUUGCUUCUUCUCUUCUACCAUUAUGGCCUAGUCUUUUUUCUCUUCUUUUCUGCCAUUGUGGCCUCUUCUCUUCUACCAUUAUGGACUUCUCUUCUCUUCUCUCUUCUGUCAUUAUGUCCUCUUUUCUUCUGCCAUUAUGGCCUCUUCUCUUCUACCAUUAUGGACUUCUCUUCUCUUCUACCAUUAUGGCCUCUUCUCUCUUCUCUUCUACCAUUAUGGCCUCUUCUCUCUUCUCUUCUACCAUUAUGGCAUCUUCUCUCUUCUCUUCUUCCGUUAUGGCCUCUUCUCUUUUCUUCUCUCUUCCACCAUUAUGGCCUUUUCUCUUCUAUUCUCUUCUCUCUUCUCUUCUGCCACGAUGGCCGCUUCUCCUCUCUUCUGUUCUACCAUCAUGGCCUCUUCUCUUCUCUUUCGAUUCUACCAUUAUGGCCUAUCUCUGUCUUUAUGCCUGCCUCUGUCUCUGUCACUAUCACUGUCACUGUGCCUGUCUCUGUCACGUUCACUGUCUCUCUCUGUCUCUGUCACGUUGCCUGUCUCUGUCUCUGUGCGUGUCUCUGUCUCGUGCCUAUGUUUGUCUGUGGGCCUGUCUCUGUGCCUGUCUCUGUGGCUGUCUCUGUGCCUGUCUCUGUGCCUCUCUCUGUUUCUGUGUCUGUCUCUGUCUCUCUGCCUGCCUCUGUGUCUGUCUCUGUACCUGUCUCUGUGCCUGUCUCUGUCUCUGUCUUUAUGCCCCUCUCUGUCUCGGUCACGUUGCCUGUCUCUGUUUCUGUGCGUGUCUCUGUCUCAUGCCUAUGUCUGUCUGUGGGCCUGUCUCUGUGCCUGUCUCUGUGCCUGUGUCUGUGCCUGUGUCUAUGCCACUCUCUGUUUCUGUGUCUGUCUCUGUCUCUGUGCCUGCCUCUGUGUCUGUCUCUGUACCUGUCUCUGUGCCUGUCUCUGUCUGUCUCUGUGUCUGUCUCUGUGCCUGUCUCUGUGCCUGUCUCUGUGCCUGUCUCUGUGCCUGUCUCUGUCUUUGUGUUUGUCUAUGUCUUUGUGUCCAUCUCUGUCUAUGUGUCUGCUUCAGGAGCUGA
rnacentral:lncRNA from 8 species